UGAUACCAGAGCCAGUCGCGAAGAACAGCACAGUCUGGAACUUCUCUGGAGGGUAGAGCUGGUCGAUAUCGAAACCUUUGCCAAAUUUUGGGAAUUUAGGGUUCCUGGCAAGGGAUUCUUGGAGUUCCUAGGACGUGGAGGGCACUACCUCGGCUGUGCUGUGCGAUCUGGCCAAGGGAGAUAAGGUGGAUUUAAGCCAAGUAAUGGGCGGAGG
rnacentral:lncRNA from 1 species